rnacentral:tRNA from 1 species
GCGUCGGUGAUAUAAGGCGUAGCAUCGCUGCCCGGAAAACAGAAGGUGCAGGUUCGAAUCCCGCCUGACGCA